GACGAACGCUGGCGGUAUGCUUAACACAUGCAAGUCGAACGAGACGAAGAUGAAGUGCUUGCACGGAUUCUUUAGAAAGUGGCGAACGGGUGAGUAACGCGUGGGUAACCUGCCCUAUGGAAAGGAAUAGCCUCGGGAAACUGGGAGUAAUGCCUUAUAGUAUACCGGGAUCGCAUGAUGCUGAUAUGAAACGCUCCGGUGCCAUAGGAUGGAACCGCGUCCCAUUAGCUAGUUGGUGAGAUAACAGCCCACCAAGGCGACGAUGGGUAACCGGUCUGAGAGGGCGAACGGUCACACUGGAACUGAGACACGGUCCAGACUCCUACGGGAGGCAGCAGUGGGGAAUAUUGCGCAAUGGGGGAAACCCUGACGCAGCAAUACCGCGUGAGUGAAGAAGGUUUUCGGAUCGUAAAGCUCUGUUAUUGGGGAAGAAAAAAGACGGUACCCAAGAAGAAAGUCCCGGCUAACUACGUGCCAGCCGCCGCCGUAACAC
rnacentral:rRNA from 1 species